rnacentral:rRNA from 1 species
UACGUAGGGAGCAAGCGUUGUCCGGAAUUAUUGGGCGUAAAGAGCUCGUAGGCGGCUUGUCACGUCGGAUGUGAAAGCCCGGGGCUUAACCCCGGGUCUGCAUUCGAUACGGGCUAACUAGAGUGUGGUAGGGGAGAUCGGAAUUCCUGGUGUAGCGGUGAAAUGCGCAGAUAUCAGGAGGAACACCGGUGGCGAAGGCGGAUCUCUGGGCCAUUACUGACGCUGAGGAGCGAAAGCGUGGGGAGCGAACAGG